AUUGACCAUUCCAGGAAUCUCAAGGAUUGUAGCAGCUCUUCAGCAGUGUGUCUAUUGAGUCCUGUGACCCAUUCAUAGACGAGACAGCUGAGGUCAUCUACUCUAUCGAGAACCAGCACAUCAAUCCAGUCAGUCUGACAGACCUGGUUGUCAUUCUGAUUAGCAUCAUGUACCAGCACCCCAAGCCUCCUCACAGUGACUCGUUACCUGCAGGUGUGGUUCACGUUGCCUCUCCCAUCCCUUGACUCACUACAAAGCCUUUAUUUACACAUGCUGCCCAGCUUCCGAUUAAGAUUAUUAAUUAACUAUGAAAGAAGGUGUAACGGAUACUGUAGUAUGUGUCUUAGUUUUUAUGACAGCCCUUUAUCUCGAUAUAGUGUUCUAGAGUACACCCACUUUAAUUCUGUCAGACCUUUUGUCUCGACUCUAGAGAACACUGUGAUACUCACUGAGAUGAGACGUAACAAAAUCACUGAGAUUCACUGGCGUGCCAUAACCUUGUAUUGAGCCAUUAAACAUUGUCUCAGUUGGUGACAGCAACGCCUCUUUUAUUUCCCCUUCACUUUCUUGACCAACACUACACUAUCUUUAUUCCAGUCACCAGAUCAAUAAUAAUGUAC
rnacentral:lncRNA from 1 species